GAACGUUCCCCGUUCUGGGGGAAAACGUAGCUAAAGCUAUGGUUAAAACUCAAACAAUUUUCGGAUGAAAAGGGGGGAGGGUUAGGCCUCGCGUGCUUGGAGCGGGCGAAUUUUGAUUAGGUAGUUGGGGGGGGUAAGGCUCAUCAAGCCUUAGAUCUAUAACUGGUUUGAGAGGAAUAUCACCCCCCCUGGGACUGAGGCCCGGCCCCGACUCCUUCCGGAGGCAGCAGUGGGGAAUUUUUGGCAAAUGGGGCAAACCUGAUCCACCCAUUCCGCGGGCAGGUCGAAGGCCUUUGGGUUGUAAACUGCUUUUGUACACAACGAAAAAGUUUGGGUUUAUUCCCUGGGGUCAAGACGGUUAAGUAAGAAAAAGCACCGGCUUACUAUGUGCCCCCAGCC
rnacentral:rRNA from 1 species